AAGAUUUAAUUAUGUCAAUCAAUGAUAUAAUCGUUUAGUGUACAUUACUAAAAUGAUCCAAAAAUAUAGACAUCCACAUACAAGUAAAUGUACACUGCAAAACAUCUCAUUAAGUUCUACAACAAUAUUUCUCUUCAUUUACUCUCAUAAGUGCUUGUUUGCCCAAAAUGAUUGACAGAAAGGAACCAUGGCCAAACCCAUUUUGCUAUUCAGCACCAGUACCAGUAUGCCACUCACCAUGAAGAACCGAAGCCAAGAAACAGAAAUAGGGGAAAGUAAAAUAUCACCCAGAAACUAGAGAAAAAUUAAUUCAAUUUCCACAUCCAACUAUCUGAAACUUAAGGCAUUGAAUAUAGUGAAAUCCUCAAUCUGAGAAGGGUUUGAU
rnacentral:misc_RNA from 1 species